rnacentral:rRNA from 1 species
UACGUAGGGUGCGAGCGUCGUUCGGAAUUAUUGGGCGUAAAGGGCUCGUAGGCGGUUUGUCGCGUCGGGAGUGAAAACUCGGAGCUUAACUCCGAGCCUGCUUCCGAUACGGGCAGACUAGAGGUAUGCAGGGGAGAACGGAAUUCCUGGUGUAGCGGUGAAAUGCGCAGAUAUCAGGAGGAACACCGGUGGCGAAGGCGGUUCUCUGGGCAUUACCUGACGCUGAGGAGCGAAAGUGUGGGGAGCGAACAGG